rnacentral:tmRNA from 1 species
GGGGACGAAUUUGGUUUCGACGGGGGUAUAGAGCUAAGAGUAGCGAGUCGUUGUCGCCAAACAACGCUAAAAGUGGCAACUAAAUUAUAAACGCAGACGAUAAUUACGCUUUAGCUGCCUAAUAAGGCGGCCACUUACUCUAAUGGUCCUGCCCAUUAGAUGUUAAGUGUUAAUGUAUGCAGGGAACUACUAUAAGGUUUUUCCGACUUAUAGCAGAUAAAUUGGAAAUAGCCAAAUAGAGGGCCUGUUGCUAGGCAAGCUAAGAGGCGAACUUUAAAUAUAGCAACUGCACUCGGAGAAGCUCUUAGUAAAGUGCUUUCGGACGUGGGUUCGACUCCCACCGUCUCCACCA